GGGAGAACGAGUCAUCACCCAAGAUGAGUCACAAGUCACAGUGACUUAGCAGUUUGCUGUUAGCAGGCUUAGGCUUGAAUGAUUGUGUAGGCCUUGUAGGCCUUACUGUUAAUUGGCCAAAGACUUCAUUAAAGAUAAAUGUUUUGCCUGGUGCCUCAAGAUAUGAAAUGAAGGUGCCAGGCAAGCCUCCCUGGGGAGAGCAUUCCAGAAAUGAGGAGCCACCAAAGAAAAUUGUCCAUUCUUGUGUUGCCACUCUCUGGAAGCCUUUUGGAGGAGUCAAACUAAGAAGGGUCUUGGAUGAUGCUUGCAGGGUCAUGGUAUUUAAAUGUGGAAAUUAAAAGGUAAGUAAAUGUCUGGAAGAUGGAAUAAAGUGCUGUCUUACUGCAGCCUUAUGUACCAGCAAAUUCAGUUUCUACUGUUAAAGAUGUAUUUAAUUUUGCAGUAUUGCACAACUGCUUUCAUGCACACCCCCUCCCACCCUUAUCUGACUUUUUGCUACAAGGAAAGUGAUGGGGAAAUGUACUGAUAAAUGUGGGAAAACAUUUGAUUGAUGCAACCUCCUCUAUUUUCCUGCAGACAAAUCAGAAUAAAUAAGAAAUAACCAACAUAAUCUAACAUCCCUGUAAACUUUGUGCAAAAUAGUCCUAAUCCAACGAGAAUCAUAUCUGACUAUACAAUCUAAAUGGUAAGACUGGUGCAGCAUUUAUUGACUAUACCUAGCACUCUGUGUAGUUGUAAGUUCUAGACCUGUUCCGGAUAUACGAAGGGCGUUCAUUAAAGAUUUCCCCUGACGUACUUCCCAUGGACUGAGACAAAUGAAACUUGGCACAGUUAUUAGUCCAUCCCUACAUAGCUACCAGCAAGAGUCACACACUUCUCCCAUCGCUUUAUGCAGUUGUGGAGCCCUCAUCUGUAGAAGUCAGCAGGUUGUGUCAGAAGCCAUGACUUGACUUUCAUCAGCAUUUCAUCAUCUGGAAAAAGCUUGCCUUUCAAAAAUAACUUAAUGGUUGGAAAGAGGUGGAAGUCUGAUGGUGCGAGGUUGGGAGAAUAAGGGGAGUGAGGAAGGAUUUCAUAGCCACAGGACCAUGCUUCCGUCUGAGCAACAUGCGAGUUGUGAAUUGGGGCAUUAUCCUGCAGGAGGCAAAUACCUUUGGUCAGCAUACCAUGCCUCUCAAUUUUGAUGGCCUUCUGCAAUUUCUACAGCAGUGAAGCAUAGUAUGUCCUGGUAAUUGUGGUACCCUUUGCCAGGAAGUCCAUCACCACUACUCCACGCUGGUCCCAAACGACCGUAAGUGUGAACUUGUCCACUGAUGGUUGGACACGUCCCUUCUUUGGAGGUAGUGAGGCAGAGUGCUUCUAUAGUUUAGACUGGGAUUUAGUCUCUGGGUCAUAAUGAUGGACCCAUGUUUCCUCCUGAGUAAUUAGUCUGGCGAAGAAGUCAUCAUGGUUUUUGUGACACAUGGCCAAAAGAGCCUGUGAACAUGCAGCUUGUUCCUGCUUCUGGAAAGGCAUCAGCAGCCGGGGAACCCACCGUGCGGAUACCUUUCCCAUGUGCAAAUGGUCAUGGAUGAUUUUUUUCUACAGAGCCCACACUGAUCUUGACAUCUGCAGCUAGUUGGUGAACGGUUAUGUGGCAAUCCUCCAAAACAGGAGCCAUUCCACCGAAGUCUGGCCACACCUGAACUGACGAUGCCAGUGCUUGACUACAUCAUACGAUGGGGCAUCUUCCGCAUAAGUCCCUUUCAUCUCAUUGAACGUCUCCCAUGGUGUGCACCUUUUCAAGUACAGGAACCUGAUGACCUCUGCUUCAACUGGUUCCAUUAUCAGACGUUACGCCACAUUAGAACUAGUAACAGAGAAACUGUUAGGAGUUCAGAGCUACAAAUUACCACGUUACCUAUGAAGAGAUGUAUCAUAAUAUAUAUGCAAUUUCAUCUUCCUACGAUAACUGAAGUGGGACAGGGUAAAUCUUUAAUGAGCGACCCUCGUAUUUGUUCUCUCUCUCUCCCUCUCUCUCUCAGUAGUGCAGUGUACAAUCUCUCUGCAGUGUACAAUCAAUUUUAAAAAAUCAAUAAAAUAGUAUAAAAAACAAUAAUAGAAAUGAAAUGUGACUAGUGGCCCAAAGAACACCCUUAAUUAAUUUCAUACAUGCCCCAAAUAUCAUCUUCAUUGGUGUUUGUCAGAGCUCCAAGGGAAAGCAAUUCCAUAAGAAGCAGGCCAACAGAGAAAGGCUCUAAUCCUGCCUCAGAUAGUGGAACUACCAAGAAGGCCUCUGCAGAACGCUCAGGUCAGAAAGGAGAGAUGUGAUCCCUGCAGGUAUCCUGGUCCCCAACAAGAAUGAAGUGUUUUAGUUUAGCAUAAAAUAGUCUAGUCGGCUACAGUCUUUCUUUAGGUUUCUUUCUGCAUACAUAUGGACUUAACAGUACCUUUUUGUUUUAGUUACUGUUAUUUAAUGUUGUUAAAAUGGCUUUAUAGAUUUUAAAUGCCAUAUUAAUUUGUUACCUGUAUAAUAUGACUUUUGCUGCAAUAGUGAUGUUUAGCUUAUUUUUAGUUGCUUUUUUCAAUAGUGUUUUAUAGAUUGCAAUUGUUUUAUUGAUGAUAAUCAUUUGAUAUUGUUUAUGCUGUGUUUAUGAUGUUCUAUUACAUUCUGUUAUGCUAUUGUUAUUUACUUUGGCCUGCAUUUGGACCUGAAGUUCCCCAUCCCUGGUAUAGACAGAAUCUGUACUCUAACCAAACUUCCCACUGUAACAGUGUAAGAAUAUAAGAACAGCAAAGGGUUACCUAGGCCAGAUCUACACUCAUGGUUUUUAACCCCAGUGGCCAGCCAAAGGCCUUUAGGGAAGCCUCAAGAACUGGGCUGCACAGUGCACCAACACCAUCCAUUUAAAGCACAUCUGUCUUAAAGAAUCUUUGGAACUGAGCUCCCAGAGCUACAAUUCCCAUCAUUUUUAAUGAACUACAGUUCACAUUAUUCCUUGGGGGAGGGAAUAUACUUAAAUGGUUUGUAUGCAUCCCUAUUUCCUGAGAGCUGGGAAAAUUGCUGCUCCUCUAAGGUAGUUAAAUUGGAUGACUUGGCACAAGCUAUCUCCUUAGAUCAUGACCUCUGUGCUUAAUCUUAGUUCACGUCUGCCUGAAGCCUAAUUAAGUAAAGUUAAAGGAACUACAAUAUUAAUUGUUGUGUUGCCAUCCGUUACAGUGGAAAUAGCCAGCUCCUCUGAAACAGUGGUCAGGCUUUUUGAUUAAGGAGACUCCAUCUCUCUUUCUGGCCAAUCUGAUUGCUGGUCUUGUAGCUUUCUUUGUCAUUUAGCAAUAACCUAUGGCAUGAAGAGUGUAAGAGUCUUUUAAAUCUCUCUUAGUAGUUAAAAGCACAUCAUGUUUCGCUAGGCUUGAUGCAGCCUGACAAAGAAACAAUGACAUUUAUGUACGCGGAAAUGACUGUAUUAUUCAGACAAUGGUACUUAUGCCAUUCUUCAUGUUUUAAAAUUCUGCAACAUCAACUAAAGUGCCCCAGCCAUUAACUAUUCUUUACAAGAAAUGUCCAAGUAGGUCCAAGCAUUAAAUAUAUAUUUCAAGUUGCUGUGUGUGUGUGUGUGUGUGUGUGUGUGUGUGCACCCUGCCCUUAUUAUGAAAUAUUAAAACAGUGCUUUGCAACUAUGGUGCCAGCCAGGUCAUUCUAAAGCAAUAAGAGAGCUGCAGGGAAACAGAGAUUUUUUAUUUUCCCUUUUAGUUGCAAGAAGCAAAGGAGGCAAUGCAGGAUAAUAUUUAUUUACAUCAAGCUGUUUCUUCAAGCCAGUGCAAAUUGCUGUACAGUGGGUACGAAGUGAUCUAUCUGUUUUUUGUCAUUCCAUCUCAAAUGGCAAUCUUAUAUUCCUGAAAGUAAAUUCCAUUGAAGUCAUGGUACAUACUUCUUAAAAAAUAGUGUAGUGUCUUUCCUCAGAAAUUCCCUCUCUAUUAAUAUCGAGCAGGCAGCAACAGUGCAAAGUUUACAGUGCUUGUCUAACACUUGUUUUCUUUCUUUUUCUUUUCAGUCUAAACAGGAAAAGGGCCAUAGCUCAAUGGAAUCAAAUCUGUUUUGCAUACAAAAGAUCCCAGGUUUACUUCCUGGCAUCUCCAGGUAGGGCUUAGGGACAGCCCUUCUUGAAAGGCAGAAUUGUUCUUUACCUGCCCUCUGUUCAUAAGAACAACACUGAUAGAGCAGACAAAUGACCCAUUUAGUCCAGAAUUAUGUUCCUACAGUGGCAAACCAGAUACCUAUGGGAAGCUCACAAUCAGAACAGGAGGCAAUAACUUUCUCCAACUCAUGACUCCUAGCAACUGGGGCACUUGCAUAUAGACAAGAAGGCAUUUGGUUUGAGUCUUAGCUGGACCUGACACAACCUGAGUACAAUAUUUCCAUGGAGG
rnacentral:lncRNA from 1 species